rnacentral:tRNA from 2 species
GCUCCAGUAGACAAAUUGGUAAAGUCGCCUCUCUUUCAAAGAGGACAUUUUGCGAGUUCGAGGCUCGUCUGGAGUU